GUGCAGUCAACAGGUACAUAACACAAUAUGGGCAAAGUAAGACCUUCCAUCAUCAUCAUCUUGUUACUGACUACAGCCAUUCCACCAUCAACUUGUUGCUUCCUACAUCCAAUCAGGCAUUGUUUCGCUCAUCGCAAAACAUGUUCUGUGAAGACUUCUGUGGUGUCAUGGGAUCCUCCAUAGACAUAGACUUGUGUUGUAGUGUGAGAGAACCGGACCAACGUGAC